rnacentral:rRNA from 1 species
AGUGAACGCUGGCGGUAGGCCUAACACAUGCAAGUCGAACGGCAGCACAGUAAGAGCUUGCUCUUACGGGUGGCGAGUGGCGGACGGGUGAGGAAUACAUCGGAAUCUACUUUUUCGUGGGUGAUAACGUAGGGAAACUUACGCUAAUACCGCAUACGACCUACGGGUGAAAGCAGGGGAUCUUCGGACCUUGCGCGAGUGAAUGAGCCGAUGUCGGAUUAGCUAGUUGGCGGGGUAAAGGCCCACCAAGGCGACGAUCCGUAGCUGGUCUGAGAGGAUGAUCAGCCACACUGGAACUGAGACACGGUCCAGACUCCUACGGGAGGCCGCAGUGGGGAAUAUUGGACAAUGGGCGCAAGCCUGAUCCAGCCAUACCGCGUGGGUGAAGCAGGCCUUCGGGUUGUAAAGCCCUUUUGUUGGGAAAGAACAGCAGCAGGUUAAUCGCCCGCUGUUCUGACGGUACCCAAUGAAUAAGCACCGGCUAACUUCGUG